rnacentral:sRNA from 1 species
ACCAAGAACUAUUGUGCCGUGCACGUAUAUAUAUACUUUCAAGACCAACUUCACCUCUGCGAUACACCUUGAAUGACAACAUGUUGCAAGGACGUUUGAACGAUAUAGCCGUUGCGCUUCACCGAAACCUUUCACCACACAACGUGAAGUACGGCAUAUUCAGUGGCUAUUAUGCCCUAUAAGAUGGAAUUGUUGAAUGCAAAAGUAGUGCUAUGGCCUGAAUGAAUUGUAGUUCUCUAGUGCAACAUAUGCCAUUCAAUUAUUCUAGCCC